GGGAUGCGGGGAGCUAGGUUCUGCCAUGGAGGGUGGAGGAGAGGCCUCUUCUCGGCGGGAAGAGCGCCAAGCCGAUCCAGUGACCCUCGAUCGCUGAGCUCUUGUCUUUGUCAUCUUGGAUUCCGUGGGGGUUGUAAUCCCUGGUGCUGUUGAUCGUAGGCUCAGCCCCUACCUGGCGCGCCAAUCUGUUGCGGCCAAUCUCUUCAUCGCCUGGUCGUCGGGAACGAGCGUCUGCAAAAGAAAAUCCACACUGACCGGAGGUGGCUCCGAUGGGGACCCUUCGACGGUCGAGUCAGAGAGGAGACUAGGCAAUAGUAAAAGAAAACAAGGAGCUCAACGAGAGAGAGC
rnacentral:lncRNA from 1 species